rnacentral:rRNA from 1 species
UACGUAGGGGGCGAGCGUUGUCCGGAUUUAUUGGGCGUAAAGAGCUCGUAGGCGGUUUGGUAAGUCGGGUGUGAAAUCUCCACGCUCAACCUGGAGAGGCCACCUGAUACUGCUGUGACUCGAGUCCGGUAGGGGAGCGUGGAAUUCCUGGUGUAGCGGUGAAAUGCGCAGAUAUCAGGAGGAACACCAGCGGCGAAGGCGGGCGCUCUGGGCCGGAACUGACGCUGAGGGAGCGAAAGCGUGGGUAGCAAACAGG